AACCUUUACAUUUGUGAAGUUCAUUCGUUGAAAACAAAAUCACAUAUUCAGAGAACCUUACCACUUCCAUUUGGUACUGAAAUCAAAAUCUAAUCUAUCAGGUAGAUUGUUUGUUUUCAAUCUGAUGUUGUUGUGCUUCGUAAGGGGCAGAAAAUGUUGCAUCUUCUUCAUGAAACCCUAGCGCCGUCGUGCUCUCCUUAUUCUCUCCUUUUCUCCAACCGCUACUCCAAACGAAAAAGGAAACUAUUUUCAUGUUUCUCAUCCCUCGACCUAUCAAUUGAACCAAUGGAUAUUCUCUUCCGACAUCAACUAAGACUUCAACCAUGUCUUUGCUAUUCUGGGCAAAUUUGGGAAACUGAUAACAUGUUUUGGUGGUUACGGUAAGCUUCAGGGAGUAAUUCAUCAUCUUCUCCAAUUUAUCACUAAUUUCGUAUUCAAUUUCUCUAUAUUUUCUUUGUUUGUUGCGAUGGUGUUUAGAUCCGUGGGAGCAUGAAAUGGGAGGCUCGGGUUGAACAAGAUAUUGAUAAAAUUCUCAAGGAAGCUAAGUCCGCAAAUGAAGGACGUUACAUUGGUUUGUCUUUCAAUUCUAUGUUUUGUUUUAUCCUGUUUUUAGAUUCUUGAUUUGUUCAAUUGUUAUAAUGUUGUGUGCAGUGUUAUUGUCUUAAUAUCUUUUCUGGAUGUUUGUUUCUAUUUUUAAUACUUGGAGUUUUCUUUGUUAGAUUUCUGAUGAAGUUCUUGCCAGUAUUUACUCCUUUAUCAUUGAAAUGUGAUGCAUGUUGUCCAUACUUAUUUUUGUUUAUGCUUGUGACCAGAGCUUCAAUGCUAAUGAAUAUAAAUCCAGUUGUUGCAUAAAUCCACUAGGUAUUGUUUUUGUAUCCUUGCUCUUGAUGAUUUCACAACUUUUAUGAUGAUAAACCUGUCUAUUAUUACAAGAAAAAUCCAUUGGCUCAAAGUAUCCUUGGUGCAGAUUUACAAAGUGCUAUUAUUUUACAUUCCGAACCUACUGUUAUUACAUACCUUCAUGUGUAUUUCAGUUUUAUUAGAGUCUUAAUUGACAUAAUGCUUAAAUAAAAUUGCAAACUAAAGUGUUGAUAAUUGGUUUUUUAAAAUCUUACAAUUUGUUAAGGAACAUGUCAUAAUACUGUUUUUAAAAAAUGUGUGUUGAAAUUAUAGGAUGAAGUGGAAAUUGAAAUGAGGAGAUUGAAGUUAAAGUUGAAACCAAUGAGUAUAUAUAGUACAACUUGCAAGGAAGGAAGCUUUUAUGGUAUAAAUGUUUUUUGAAGACACAACAUUGCUAUUAGUUGAGAAAGAGAGAUUACAGAGGUUGUAUAUGAUGUUGUUUUUGCUUGCGGUCAUCCAAUGUUAAGACCUGCUACUCAUCUGAACCAAUGUAGUUUCCUUUCAUGAUUUAACUAUGAAGUGAAGUUUAUUUA